UAAUACACUAUUACGUUCACAGAUAACAUUCAAUUCGUUUGUGAACGCACGUCGGCUUCUACUUUGCUUCGGAUUGUGGGUAUAUUCUGUUUCGCGCCAUCUAAAAGGACGCGGUGGACGCCAUUGUAAAGUCGAAUUGGGAAGGUGUCUUUAAGCGGAAUAAUGUCUGAUCUCAGAACGUCUAGCACACCUCCUAAAACAAAAAUUUUUGUGGGUCGCUUACCAGACGAGGCUCAAGCUCAGGACUUGCGACAUCUGUUUGAGC